UUCCUUCAGUUUUGUAGCAGUGAGGCCGACCUUUUCAUCCAUCAAGCUGGUGUUGAAGAGGAAGAUGGGCUCCUCUAGUAGAGAGACUUCAUGGAAGAAGUCGAGGAGUACCCAAUCGAGGAUUUUUACCCCCACUCUGACCUUAGCACUAUUCGUAGGAAUGUCGAGUGCUGACCCCAUGAAAAUUGAGGAUGAACCAGUGGUGGUCGAGCCGCCAUGAUCUGUCGCACC
rnacentral:lncRNA from 1 species